UAGGGAAUUUUCGGCAAUGGACGAAAGUCUGACCGAGCAACGCCGCGUGAGUGAAGAAGGUUUUCGGAUCGUAAAACUCUGUUGUUAGAGAAGAACAAGGACGUUAGUAACUGAACGUCCCCUGACGGUAUCUAACCAGAAAGCCACGGCUAACUACGUGCCAGCAGCCGCGGUAAUACGUAGGUGGCCAGCGUUGUCCGGUUUUAUUGGGCGUAAGGCGAGCGAAGGCGGUUUCUUAAGUCUUAUGUGAAAGCCCCCGACUCAACCGGGGAGGGUCAUUGGAAACUGGGGGACUUAAGUGCAGAAGAGGAGGGUGGAAUUCCAUGUGUAGCGGUGAAAUGCGUAGAUAUAUGGAGGAACACCAGUGGCGAAGGCGGCUCUCUGGUCUGUAACAGACGCUGAGGCUCGAAAGCGUGGGGAGCAAACAGG
rnacentral:rRNA from 1 species